GAUGAACGCUAGCGGCAGGCUUAAUACAUGCAAGUCGAGGGGCAGCGCGGGUAGCAAUACCUGGCGGCGACCGGCAAACGGGUGCGGAACACGUACGCAACCUUCCCAUAACUGGUGAAUAGCCCUCCGAAAGGAGGAUUAAUACACCGUAACAUAACGAAGAGGCAUCUUUUUGUUAUUAUAGUAGCAAUACGGUUUUGGAUGGGCGUGCGCCUGAUUAGGUAGUUGGCGGGGUAACGGCCCACCAAGCCUGCGAUCAGUAACUGGUGUGAGAGCACGACGAGUCACACGGGCACUGAGACACGGGCCCGACACCUAAGGGAGGCAGCAGUAAGGAAUAUUGGUCAAUGGACGAAAGUCUGAACCAGCCAUGCCGCGUGAAGGAUUAAGGCCCUCUGGGUUGUAAACUUCUUUUAUCUAGGACGAAAAAAGGGCAUUCUUGCUCACUUGACGGUACCAGAGGAAUAAGCACCGGCUAACUCCGUGCCAGCCGCCGCAGUAA
rnacentral:rRNA from 1 species